UUUUCACUUGCUGAACAUUGGUUUAUUUUACAUGAAUUAAACAUUUUUAUACGUUUUGAAAUUAAUUUUAUGUUUUUGUUGGAUUUGAACUUUGUCUUGUAUAUUUUUUUACUUGUCCACGGGCAACCAAGACAAAAAUAAUUACUUGUCCGGUUGUUCAAAUGUACGAGUCGGGCAAGUCGGGCAUAGCAUUUCCACACCCCUG
rnacentral:lncRNA from 1 species